UAGUGUACAAUAACUUUAUUAAGAAUAUAUAUUUACAAGAUAAUUAAAUUAGAUAGCAUGAUUUAGCCAUGACCCUGAUCAGACCUCAACCCUCACGUUUUUAUUUUUUUUCGGUAAUUGCAGGCUAGACACUUGUGAGUAGAGAGGAGGGUAAAGAAAUCCCUACUCCCAAGUACCCUCAUUUGGUAGGAUUCGAACCCCAAACCUCUAGGAUCCACAGUAAGAACGUUACCAAGUGAGUCAACACUUUGUUGGUGACUAAAUUUAAUUGGCUUCCAAAUCCAAGUUAUUACUAUAACAAUUUAGUUUUCAUUAUUAUAAUUUUUUUUUUUUUUUUAUAUUUUUUUUUUAACAUUUGUUGAAGUUAAACAAUGGAGAUUGCCCGUAAAAGAAAUAAAAUACAGAGAAUGAAACUGUUACAGUAUUUUACUAUUUUUCCCCCUUUCGCUUCAUACUCACUCGCGCGGCUUUCCCACUACUCCAUAACUUCUCCUUUCUCCUGCAUAGCUUCUUCUUCCAAAAUUUCAAUCAGAAUUGCUUUUUGUUCAUGAAGAAUGAUGUGAAAUUCAGCAAAUGUGGCUUUAUCGAGGUUUAAAGGUUAAGGUUCAGAUUGUGGGGUUUGCAAUCAACGGAGAAAGAUAUUCUGAUUGAUAGUAUUAAUGAGUUUGUUUUUCUUCCUUUUUAACGUUAUUUUGUUUGAUUAAUGUUUAACAAGUGAGUAGUUAGUCUUGGAGCAAUCAAUGCUGACAGGAUAUAGUAUGAGGAAUUUUUUCACAAUGAAGUAGAUUGAACAAAAUUAAGGGGUGAGACAGGACUGUAGUAAAUAUAUGCCCGAUGAGUUCGGUUUGGUUAAUGGGCUCGUGAUGAUCCUGAUUUUGUUAUUAUCUGUAACCUUCUCUUAAUUAGUAGUUUUGACUUUGGCCUAUUGUGCUGCUUGCGUAAGUCACUUAAACUCUAACUUCUACUUUUCUUUUGCCAAUAGUCAGGUAAAUCUAAUGCUUGUCUCUUCCAAGUUUUUAAAAUUUUAUGUUUUAUGUUUUUCUUAAUUAAAAUUUGCUAUUUUGGGAUUAUCUAUCCGAUCAAUGAAUAUUGUGUGAUGCUAUUGGUGAAUGUCUUGCUAUCUUAUGUGUUUUGUCACCAUGUCUGCUGAGUUCUUUUUUCCCUUUGUUGUUGAAAUUGUUUGCAAUACAAUCAGAAACAGAGAAUACUGAUAUUUGUCACAAAAAUACCAAAAUAGCAUUGUAAGUUGUAACUAAAAAAAAAAAAGAACUUACAAUUAUCUUUGGGCUGGAAUUGAAUAUUGUAAUUAGAUGUUAUAGCUAUAGUGAUGGAUUGUGAUGGCUGAUGUAGUAAUGUAAUGAAUUUUGUGUGAUACAAAGUAAUGUAUCUUUGGGUAAAUUUGGGAAAUAUUAUAUUGCACAUUGAUAUAUUGCAUGAAAGAUAUUUGAUUUAGUGGUCAUUGGUCUGAUAUGUUUUGUGAAGCAUUUAGAAUAGUUCGUAAAUGGUCUCCUUUGGACUAACUUCAGUAUGGUUUGUAGCAGCUAUAGCUUCUUUAUUCGUAAGGUUUUUACCUAGAAAUGAGUUUAACUGCGGAUAACUAGAUCUCUGUCUGUUACUCUAGCAAUGGAUGCGUUAUACUACCUCCUUUUGUGCAGCACCUAUCACAACUUUUUCAUGUGAAUCUAAGUAGAUGACUGCCGUGUCUGUAAUAAUCUUUCUCAGCUUCCAUGUCUUCUAAAUAGAUGACUGCCAUGUCUGUAAUCAAACCUCCUGUUUUCUUAUUUGUAGCAAUUUGGCAGAAUAGAUGACUGCAUGAACUUUCAUUUAGCUUCUUUUCUAAUUGUUUAUAGUUCUUGAGAGUGAAAGUGGCUCUUUAGUCUGACUAAAUGCAAUCUUAUAAAAGUGUGAUAUGUGCUACCUGGACUUGAAUUCUGGUCCAAAGUACUUAUAAAUAGAAAUUCUCAGAAUUUGACCAAGUAGAAUUUGAUGUUUUGUAAUGUACAAGAGUGUAUUUUUACAUUCUUUCUUAGUGUACUAUAUAUGCUACUCCGUGAGUAGCAAAACUUUGUAACAUUGGCUCAUACAUAUCUUAAUAUAUGCAAAUAUGUUUCUCCUGAAAUUGCAGUGAAUUAAAUUUCGGACUUAUGACAUAACUGAAGAAAGCGCAUACUAGCUGAAAUUGAAGAAAUUCGUGUUGUGCAGUGUGCAGAGUAAGCAAUGUGUGUUAGUUGUUCCAAGGUUUGCCACUGUUUUUGUAGUUGGGCGAUGCUGCUGCUCUGUUGGGAACUGCUGCUGCUUUGCUUGUUGCUACUCCAAUUGUAGUGUACUUUAAUUGACUAAUUGUAUUUUUUUUUUUCCAUUUUUUUUGAGUGAAUAGUGUAAAUUUACAAGCUAUUAAUGAAGAUAUUUAAGUUUUAUGUGUA